GGAUUGCCUCAGUACGGCGAGUGAAGCGGCAAAAGCUCAAAUUUGAAAUCUGGCACUUUCAGUGUCCGAGUUGUAAUUUGUAGAAGUAGUUUUGGGACUGGUCCUUAUCUAUGUUUCUUGGAACAGGACGUCAUAGAGGGUGAGAACCCCGUAUGAUGAGGCCCCCAGUCCUUUGUAAAACGCUUUCGAAGAGUCGAGUUGUUUGGGAAUGCAGCUCUAAGUGGGUGGUAAAUUCCAUCUAAAGCUAAAUAUUGGCGAGAGACCGAUAGCGAACAAGUACAGUGAUGGAAAGAUGAAAAGAACUUUGAAAAGAGAGUGAAAAAGUACGUGAAAUUGUUGAAAGGGAAGGGCAUUUGAUCAGACAUGGUGUUUUGCGCCCUUUGCUCCUUGUGGGCGGAGGAUACGCAGCUCACUGGGCCAACAUCAGUUUUGGGAGCAGGAUAAAUCUGUAGGAACGUAGCUUUCUUCGGGAAGUGUUAUAGCCUAUGGGAAUACUGCUACCUGGGACUGAGGACUGCGUCUUUUGACAAGGAUGUUGGCAUAAUGGUUAAAUGCCGCCCGUCU
rnacentral:rRNA from 1 species